GUCCCUGUAGCUUACGACAAAGCAUGACACUGAAGAUGUCAAGACGGCUGAUCAGAACACCCAAGGACA
rnacentral:tRNA from 1 species